rnacentral:tRNA from 1 species
GGGAUGUGGCGGAAUCGGUAGACGCGCUUGAUUCAAAAUCAAGUGACUUAUGGUCAUGAGGGUUCGAGUCCCUCCAUCCC